rnacentral:rRNA from 1 species
AGCGAACGCUGGCGGCAGGCCUAACACAUGCAAGUCGAACGGACCCUUCGGGAUUAGUGGCGGACGGGUGAGUAACACGUGGGAACGUGCCCUUUGGUUCGGAACAACUCAGGGAAACUUGAGCUAAUACCGGAUGUGCCCUUCGGGGGAAAGAUUUAUCGCCAUUGGAGCGGCCCGCGUCUGAUUAGCUAGUUGGGGAGGUAAAGGCUCACCAAGGCGACGAUCAGUAGCUGGUCUGAGAGGAUGAUCAGCCACAUUGGGACUGAGACACGGCCCAAACUCCUACGGGAGGCAGCAGUGGGGAAUCUUGCGCAAUGGGCGAAAGCCUGACGCAGCCAUGCCGCGUGAAUGAUGAAGGUCUUAGGAUUGUAAAAUUCCUUCACCGGGGACGAUAAUGACGGUACCCGGAGAAGAAGCCCCGGCUAACUUCGUGCCAGCCGCCGCGGUAAUAC